GCGUGUGAGGAUCUGCAGAAAAGAAUGGCAGAACAUCCCCAAAUCCAGGGUAUUGAGUGUAGAUUGAUGAGCUCAAUAAGGAUUGGAACAACAUUGACGGGGGGAAACACCCAAAGUCCAUCACUCAUGCACCGAGGAUCUGGCUGAUUACUGGAAAUUUGGAAGAUUGUUCUUUAUCUGCACUGUCACUUCUGGUAAAUAUUUAUGAAGAAGAAAUAUACUUUAUUAAUCCCCAAGGGCAAAUUAGUUCUCUGCAUUUAACCCA